UACAGAGGGUGCGAGCGUUGUCCGGAAUCACUGGGCGUAAAGGGCGCGUGGGUGGCGGCCCAAGUCCAUGGUGAAAGCUCGAUGCUCAACAUCGAGUCGGCCACGGAUACUGGGUUGCUCGAGCACUGUAGGGGCAGAUGGAAUUCCGGGUGUAGCGGUGGAAUGCGUAGAGAUCGGAAAGAACACCAACGGCGAAAGCACUCUGCUGGGCCGACACUGACACUGAGAGACGAAAGCUAGGGGAGCGAAUGGG
rnacentral:rRNA from 1 species